rnacentral:rRNA from 1 species
AACGAACGCUGGCGGCAUGCCUAACACAUGCAAGUCGAACGAGACCUUCGGGUCUAGUGGCGCACGGGUGCGUAACGCGUGGGAACCUGCCCUUAGGUUCGGAAUAACUCCCCGAAAGGGGUGCUAAUACCGGAUAAUGUCUUCGGACCAAAGAUUUAUCGCCUUUGGAUGGGCCCGCGUUGGAUUAGCUAGUUGGUAGGGUAAAAGCCUACCAAGGCGACGAUCCAUAGCUGGUCUGAGAGGAUGAUCAGCCACACUGGGACUGAGACACGGCCCAGACUCCUAGGGGGGGAACCGGUGGGGAAAAUUGGACAAUGGGCAAAAGCCUAAUCCAGCAAUGCCGGGGGGGUGAUGAAGGCUUUAGGGUUGUAAAGCUUUUUUCCCCGGGAUGAUAAUGACAGUACCGGGAAAAAAAGCCCCGGCUAACCCCGU